GGCAGAGCAUACGUAGAUCAGGAGGGCAAAGAAACACAGAUGUGGGGAAGGAGAGAAAUGAGGGCAGUGGUUCGGAGUGUGACUGAAGUAGAAAUCUGGCUUUACCAUGACUCUCCUUCAUCCUUUUCAGACUUCCAUGGAAAGAAUUUUGCUGUCUCUAUUUAGAAGCUUCAACAGUGAGGGAAAACAAACAAAUGUUGUGGACCCUGAAAAGAGUUCAGUGGAGGGCCACUAAGAUGAUCAAAGGACUGGAGCACCCCUACCAUGAGAAGAGCUGUGAGAGCUGGGACUGCUCAGCCUGGAGAAGAGGAGACUCAGGGGGGAUCUUUUCAAUGUGUCUAAAUACCUGAAAGGAGGGUGCAGGGAGGACAGAGCCAGGCUGUGUGCAGUGGUGCCCAGUGCCAGGACAGGAGGCCCUGGGCACAAACUGGCCCCCAGGAGGCUCCCCCUGAGCACCAGGAGCCCUUCUGUGCUGUGUGGGUGACGGAGCCCUGGCACAGGCUGCCCAGAGGCUGUGGGGUCUCCUCCUUGGAGCCCUUCAGAAGCCGCCUGGACGUGGUGCUGGGCACCCUGCUCUGGGUGUCCCUGCUUGAGCAGGGUGGCACCGGGUGGCACCGGGUGGCCUCCAGAGGUCCCCGCCAGCCUCAGCCAUCCUGGGAUAUUGU